rnacentral:sRNA from 1 species
CUCAUACACCUUUGUGAGUCAUGCUCCUAACUCGUCAAUCUACAUACCAAUGCAGAUUUAAAUAUUUAAGUCACUGAAUUUCUCUCCGUUCUCUCUUUGGCCUUUGGCCUUAAAUAUCAUGAAGAGCUCAUGGUUUUCUCAAUUUUUUCAGAAUUGCGUCUGAAAUGGACGUGCUGAACUUUUUGCACGGCCGCAGCCUCUACCGACUGUACUCCAAGAGGAUUCAGUGACAAGUGCAAGCACAUAUUCAUGGACGUGCCUCGAUUAGUAUCUGUACCUAAUGUUGAAAUCAAAAUAUUCACCUCACGAUACGAUAUGAUAUGAAACUCCAUAUAUCCAAGUUCACAAGUACAAAGGGUGGUUCUCAUAGUUGGCUAGAUGAUAAUCAUCCAACGCCAAUCUGGGAAUCGUCAGACCCCUCAUUUUUGCAUUGCUUCUUCUUUCCCUGCUUGGUCAAUAUUCGUUUCCAAAAACACUAAUAGAGAUCUCACAAGACUUCGAUAACAUGAACUCCACUAUGCCGUUGCCGCCUAUAUUUUCAUUCUUUCCAUUUGGCUGUCUUGUCUUCCGUUUUCAACAGCCAUUAGCAAAGGGACUCGCUAUCGUGUCCGAAGUACAUAGGUGGUUGGCCCAUGCAUCCUUGCGUGGACUACGUUACAUUUACUUUGCAAACAGGUAAUUAGUUAUUGAAUUGUCCAAGAAUUGCUGGGAGCGAUUUUAGAACACAAUGGACCAUAUCAGCAUCUGGAGUAGAUGGGGAACCGUGCUAGGUGUACUCGCGGACCUAAGAAUAAAGAAAAUGUGCAAUUCAAAUGUCAUUGUUGUUCGUCUCUAUUUUUCUUUGCUUUAUCUGUCUCUGUUUCUCUGUUUUUGUAAGGCUCAGUCUCGUUAGACCCCGCUCAAAAAAGCUAUUCCCUCAUCUAUUUUAAUGUAUCGCAAGCCUUAGAUGAUAAACUGGUGAUAAUUGAUGCCCC